CCUACGGGUGGCAGCAGUGCGGAAUAUUGGUCAAUGGACGGAAGUCUGAACCAGCCAUGCCGCGUGCAGGAAGACGGCUCUAUGAGUUGUAAACUGCUUUUGUACAAGGGUAAACCUGAAUACGUGUAUUCAGCUGCAAGUACUGUACGAAUAAGGAUCGGCUAACUCCGUGCCAGCAGCCGCGGUAAUCCGGAGGAGCCAAGCGUUAUCCGGAUUUAUGGGGUUUAAAGGGUGCGUAGGCGGAUUGAUAAGUUAGAGGUGAAAUGUACGGGCUUAACUCGGGAACUGCCUCUAAUACUGGUGAUCUAGAGAGUAGAUGCGGUAGGCGGAAUGUAUGGUGUAGCGGUGAAAUGCUUAGAGAUCAUACAGAACACCGAUUGCGAAGGCAGCUUACUAAGCUAUAUCUGACGUUGAGGCACGAAAGCGUGGGGAGCAAACAGGAUUAGAUACCCGGGUAGUC
rnacentral:rRNA from 1 species